rnacentral:rRNA from 1 species
AACGAACGCUGGCGGCAUGCCUAACACAUGCAAGUCGAACGAGACCUUCGGGUUUGGUGGCGCACGGGUGCGUAACGCGUGGGAACCUGCCCUUAGGUUCGGAAUAACUCCCCGAAAGGGGUGCUAAUACCGGAGAAUGUCUUCGGACCAAAGAUUUAUCGCCUUUGGAUGGGCCCGCGUUGGAUUAGGUAGUUGGUAGGGUAAAAGCCUACUAAGGCGACGAUCCAUAGCUGGUCUGAGAGGAUGAUCAGCCACACUGGGACUGAGACACGGCCCAGACUCCUACGAGAGGCAGCAGUGGGGGAUAUAGGACAAUGGGCGAAAGCCUGAUCCAGCAAUGCCGCGUGAGUGAUGAAGGCCUUAGGGUUGUAAAGCUCUUUUACCCGGGAUGAUAAUGACAGUACCGGGAGAAUAAGCACCGGCUAACUACGUG